GUUGAUUUUUGAACAUAUACUAAAAUUAGAAAAAUACAGAGAAGAUAAGCAUGGCCACUGCGCGAGGAUGACACACAUAUUCGUAAAGCGUUCCGAAAUAUU
rnacentral:snRNA from 1 species